rnacentral:rRNA from 1 species
AGAGCGAACGCUGGCGGCAGGCCUAACACAUGCAAGUCGAACGGACCCUUCGGGGUUAGUGGCGGACGGGUGAGUAACACGUGGGAACGUGCCUUUAGGUUCGGAAUAGCUCCUGGAAACGGGUGGUAAUGCCGAAUGUGCCCUUCGGGGGAAAGAUUUAUCGCCUUUAGAGCGGCCCGCGUCUGAUUAGCUUGUUGGUGAGGUAAUGGCUCACCAAGGCUACGAUCAGUAGCUGGUCUGAGAGGAUGACCAGCCACAUUGGGACUGAGACACGGCCCAAACUCCUACGGGAGGCAGCAGUGGGGAAUCUUGCGCAAUGGGCGAAAGCCUGACGCAGCCAUGCCGCGUGUAUGAUGAAGGUCUUAGGAUUGUAAAAUACUUUCACCGGUGAAGAUAAUGACUGUAGCCGGAGAAGAAGCCCCGGCAACUUCGUGCCAGCAGCCGC